UACAGAGGUGGCAAGCGUUGUUCGGAAUUACUGGGCGUAAAGGGCGCGUAGGCGGCCUGCUAAGUCGAACGUGAAAUCCCUGGGCUCAACCCAGGAACUGCGUCCGAUACUGGUUGGCUUGAAUCCGGGAGAGGGAUGUGGAAUUCCAGGUGUAGCGGUGAAAUGCGUAGAUAUCUGGAGGAACACCGGUGGCGAAGGCGACAUCCUGGACCGGUAUUGACGCUGAGGCGCGAAAGCCAGGGGAGCAAACCGG
rnacentral:rRNA from 1 species